AGUGAACGCUGGCGGUAUGCCUAACACAUGCAAGUCGAACGACAGCACAGUAAGCUCUUGCUCUUACGGUUGGCGAGUGGCGGGCGGGUGAGGCAUACAUCGCAAUCUACUUUUUCGUGGGGGAUAACGUAGGGAAACUUACGCUAAUACCGCAUACAACCUACGGGUGGAAUCAGUGGAUCUUCGGACCUUUCGCGAUUGAAUGAGCCGAUGUCGCAUUAGCUAGUUGGCGGGGUAAAGGCCCACCAAGGCGACGAUCCGUAGCUGGUCUGAGAGGAUGAUCAGCCACACUGGAACUGAGACACGGUCCAGACUCCUACGGGAGGCAGCAGUGGGGAAUCUUCGACAAUGGGCGCAAGCCUGAUCCAGCAACACCGCGUGGGUGAAGAAGGUCUUCGGGUUGUAAAGCUCUUUUGUUGGGAAAGAAAAGCAGUAGGUUAAUACCCCGCUGUUCUGACGGUACCCAAAGAAUAAGCACCGGCUAACUUCGUG
rnacentral:rRNA from 1 species